rnacentral:snRNA from 1 species
AUCGCUUCUCAGCCUUUUGGCUAAGAUCAAGUGUAGUAUCUGUUCUUAUCAGUUUAAUAUCUGAUACGUCCUCUAUCCGAGGACAAUAUAUUAAAUGGAUUUUUGGAACUAGGAGUUGGAAUUGGAGCUUGCUCCAUCCACUCCAAGGGGGAAAAAAAACAAAACAAAAUUAACUCUGAAAUACC